rnacentral:rRNA from 1 species
UACGUAGGGUGCGAGCGUUGUCCGGAAUUAUUGGGCGUAAAGAGCUCGUAGGCGGUGUGUCACGUCGGCCGUGAAAACCUGCAGCUUAACUGUGGGCGUGCGGUCGAUACGGGCAUCACUGGAGUUCGGCAGGGGAGACUGGAAUUCCUGGUGUAGCGGUGAAAUGCGCAGAUAUCAGGAGGAACACCAGUGGCGAAGGCGGCUCACUGGCCCGGUACUG